UACAGAGGGUGCAAGCGUUAAUCGGAAUUACUGGGCGUAAAGCGUGUGUAGGUGGUUGGAUAAGUUAGAUGUGAAAUCCCCGGGCUUAACCUGGGCAUUGCGUUUAAGACUGUUCAACUAGAGUACUGUAGAGGAUAGUGGAAUUUCCAGUGUAGCGGUGAAAUGCGUAGAUAUUGGAAGGAACACCAGUGGCGAAGGCGACUAUCUGGAUAGAUACUGACACUGAGACACGAAAGCAUGGGGAGCAAACAGG
rnacentral:rRNA from 1 species